rnacentral:siRNA from 1 species
CGAUCUACCCUUGUUGAGUUUGAA